ensembl:snRNA U2 U2 spliceosomal RNA
AUCGCUUCUCAGCCUUGGCUAAGAUCAAGUGUAGUAUCUGUUCUUAUCAAUUUAAUAUCUGAUACGUCCCCUGUCUGGGGGCCAUAUACUAAAUUUAUUUUUGGAAGAGGGAGAUGGAAUAGGGGCUUGCUCUGUCCAACCCACGCGUCGACCUGGUAUUGCAGUAUCUGCAGGAACGGUGCCCCCCUA